rnacentral:tRNA from 1 species
GGGCGAGUGGUGGAAUGGCAGACACGCUGGUCUUAGGAACCAGUGCCGAAAGGUGUAGGAGUUCGAAUCUCCUCUCGCCCA